rnacentral:rRNA from 1 species
UACGGAGGGGGCUAGCGUUGUUCGGAAUUACUGGGCGUAAAGCGCGCGUAGGCGGCUUUGUAAGUUAGAGGUGAAAGCCCGGAGCUCAACUCCGGAACUGCCUUUGAUACUGAGGAUCUCGAGUCCGGAAGAGGUGAGUGGAACUCCGAGUGUAGAGGUGAAAUUCGUAGAUAUUCGGAAGAACACCAGUGGCGAAGGCGGCUCACUGGUCCGGUACUGACGCUGAGGUGCGAAAGCGUGGGGAGCGAACAGG